CGCAUCUGUGCAUGCAGCAUAUCAAUAAGCGGAGGAAAAGAAACUAACAAGGAUUCCCCUAGUAACGGCGAGUGAAGCGGGAAGAGCUCAAAUUUGAAAUCUUAAAGGGUUUCCCUUUACGAAUUGUAGUUUAAAGAAGUGUUUUCUGUUGAGGUUUUGUAAAAGUUCUUUGGAAUAGGACAUCAUAGAGGGUGAGAAUCCCGUAUUUGACCUUUACUUUCAACUUUGUGAUACACUUUCAAAGAGUCGGAUUGUUUGGGAAUGCAGUCCAAAAUGGAUGGUAAAUUUCAUCUAAAGCUAAAUAUUGGCGAGAGACCGAUAGCGAACAAGUACCGUGAGGGAAAGAUGAAAAGAACUUUGAAAAGAGAGUUAAACAGUACGUGAAAUUGUCAAAAGGGAAGCGUUUGACACCAGUGUUGUUUUUCUGAAAAUCAAUUAAAGAACUGUUUAUGCUAAGUUGUUUAGACUUUAUCAGCUAACUGUUUAGUUUUGAGCUUUUCUUUAAUGCACUUUUCAGUUAACAAGUCAACAUCAAUUUCUUUUGCAUGUAAAAAAGCUUGAGGAAGGUGGCUUGAGAUUCGUCUUAAGUGUUUAUAGCCUCUUGCCUAUGCAGUCGGAGAGAUUGAGGUCUGCAGCGUAGAUCCUUCGGGGCUAAAUGCAUUUGUGCUAAGUUAUAGCAUUUUAUAGACAACUUGUUGACUAUGAUUUGUCUUGUAGCUUACUCGCUUAUGUUAUUUUACCUACGCUUAGGAUGUUGAUAUGCAUGACUGAUAU
rnacentral:rRNA from 1 species